rnacentral:lncRNA from 1 species
GUUUUGCACUCAACAAAUAACAACAAAAAUGCCUCAAAGGCACUCAUUGCUGCUGAGUACACAGGUGUAAAGGUUGAACUUGCAAAGAAUUUCGAGAUGGGGGUAUCAAACAAGACACCUGAGUUUAUCAAGAUGAAUCCAAUUGGAAAGGUAUGUUAUUAUUCUAUAGAUGUGUAUAUAUAUUCUCUUGUACUUGGUAUCAAACAAGACACCUGAGUUUAUCAAAAUGAAUCCAAUUGGAAAGGUAUGUUAUUAUUCUAUAGAUGUGUAUAUAUAUUCUCUUGUACUUCAGACAAGGUUUUGCUAAUCUUGGUUGGUGCGUGCCUUUUGACCUGUAGGUUCCUGUGCUUGAAACACCUGAUGGCCCUGUUUUCGAGAGCAAUGCUAUUGCACGCUAUGGUGAGGCUAUUUCUCAUUUUCUUUUAUUUGAGUUAUGAUCAUAUAACAGAAAUAAGUCUGACAUUGACCUCCUUUUAUUAAUGCAGUAACUAAAUUGAAGCCCGACAAUCCUCUCUUUGGCUCUUCGUUGAUUGAAUAUGUAAGUAAUUCUAGUUGGAUUUGGUUUCUAAGUGUUAUUCAUUUAUCAGUUACACUUUUCAUUUGUGAAAUUCUUACCCUCUUUUUCCUUGACAGGCUCAAAUCGAGCAAUGGAAUGAUUUUUCCGCCAUUGAGAUUGAUGCAAACAUUGGGCAAUGGCUGUACCCACGUCUCGGCUAUCGUGCAUUCAUUCCUCCAGUAUGUCUCAUACCAUGCAUUAUUAAUUUUCUUCUGAAAUAGUAGGAAAAAGUUACUGAAAUUCUUCUUAUUCUGCAAAAAGGCUGAGGAAGCUGCAGUAGCUGCAUUAAAGAGAGCUCUUGGUGCUUUAAACAUCCAUCUUGCGUCUACCACUUACUUGGUUGGACAUUCAAUCACAUUGGCUGACAUUGUAACUGUCUGCAACUUGAGCCAUGGUUUUAGGUAUAUAAUGACUAAGAGCUUUACCAAGGAAUUCCCACAUGUAGAGAGAUACUUCUGGACUGUGGUUAAUCAGCCAAAUUUCUGCAAGAUAUUGGGUGACGUGAAACAAGCUGAAUCUAUCCCAGAGCCCCCAUCCAAGAAGCCUGCACCGGUGAAGGAACCUGCAAAACCCAAAGCAAAGGAGGAGCCAAAGAAAGAGGUUA